UACGUAGGGUGCGAGCGUUAAUCGGAAUUACUGGGCGUAAAGCGUGCGCAGGCGGUUCGUUGUGUCGGCGGUGAAAUCCCCGGGCUCAACCUGGGAAUGGCCGUUGAAACUGGCGAACUGGAGUGUGGCAGAGGGGGGUGGAAUUCCGCGUGUAGCAGUGAAAUGCGUAGAGAUGCGGAGGAACACCGAUGGCGAAGGCGGUUCUCUGGGCAUGUCCUGACGCUGAGGAGCGAAAGUGUGGGGAGCGAACAGG
rnacentral:rRNA from 1 species